rnacentral:rRNA from 1 species
CCCGAACCCCGGCGAUCUAGGCAUGGCCAGGUUGAAGGUGCGGUAACACGCACUGGAGGACCGAACCGGUGAAUGUUGAAAAAUUCUCGGAUGAGCUGUGUUUAGGGGUGAAAGGCCAAUCAAGCCGGGAAAUAGCUGGUUCUCCGCGAAAUCUAUUGAGGUAGAGCGUCAGAUGUAUGCCGAUGGGGGUAGAGCACUGGAUGGGCUAGGGCUGCGCGAGCGGUACCAAACCUAACCAAACUCCGAAUACCAUCGAGUCUUGUCUGGCAGACAGACGGCGGGUGCUAAGGUCCGUCGUCAAAAGGGAAACAGCCCUAACCUACAGCUAAGGUCCCCAAGUCAUAUCUAAGUGGGAAAGCAUGUGGGAAUCCCAAAACAACCAGGAGGUUGGCUUAGAAGCAGCCAUCCUUUAAAG